GGGAGCGGUCGAUUGGUUACGGUGUUCGCUUGGUAAGCGAAUGGUUCUGGUUUCGAUUCCCAUCUGCUCCCA
rnacentral:tRNA from 1 species